rnacentral:rRNA from 1 species
AAAGCUUGCUCUAGAGUGACGAGCGGCGGACGGGUGAAUAAUGUCUGGGAAACUGCCUGAUGGAGGGGGAUAACUACUGGAAACGGUAGCUAAUACCGCAUAAUGUCGCAAGACCAAAGUGGGGGACCUUCGGGCCUCAUGCCAUCAGAUGUGCCCAGAUGGGAUUAGCUAGUAGGUGGGGUAACGGCUCACCUAGGCGACGAUCCCUAGCUGGUCUGAGAGGAUGACCAGCCACACUGGAACUGAGACACGGUCCAGACUCCUACGGGAGGCAGCAGUGGGGAAUAUUGCACAAUGGGCGCAAGCCUGAUGCAGCCAUGCCGCGUGUGUGAAGAAGGCCUUCGGGUUGUAAAGCACUUUCAGCGGGGAGGAAGGCGAUGAGGUUAAUA